rnacentral:tRNA from 1 species
GCAUAAGUAGCUCAGUGUAAGAGCACCGGUCUUGUAAACCGGGGGUCGGAGGUUAAAUUCCUCCCUUUUGCU